rnacentral:lncRNA from 1 species
AUGCGGGGGUCAGGGGUCAUUCAUCGGUCACUCAUUGGUCACUCAUCGGUCACUCAUCGGUCACUCCCGGGUCCCUUUGGAUCCCCCUCCCCUCCCCCCCCCCAAGAACGAGGCUUGGAGACCCCAAAAGUGCCCAGAAGCUCUUUAAUGGGGGAGGGGCGGGGAGGGGAGGGGGGACCCCAAAGGGACCCCAAAGGGACCCCACAGAGACCCCACAGAGACCCCACAGGGACCCCAAAAGGACCCCACAGGGACCCCACAGAGACCCCACAGGGACCCCACAGGGACCCCACAGAGACCCCACAGGGACCCCACAGGGACCCCAGGACCCCACAGAGACCCCACAGGGACCCCACAGGGACCCCAAAGAGACCCCACAGAGACCCCACAGAGACCCCACAGGGACCCCAAAGAGACCCCACAGAGACCCCACAGGGACCCCACAGGGACCCCAGGACCCCACAGGGACCCCAAAGGGACCCCAAAGGGACCCCACAGAGACCCCACAGGGACCCCAAAGAGACCCCACAGGGACCCCAAAGAGACCCCACAGAGACCCCACAGGGACCCCACAGGGACCCCAGGACCCCACAGGGACCCCAAAGGGACCCCAAAGGGACCCCACAGAGACCCCACAGGGACCCCAAAGAGACCCCACAGAGACCCCACAGGGACCCCACAGGGACCCCAGGACCCCACAGGGACCCCAAAGGGACCCCAAAGGGACCCCACAGAGACCCCACAGGGACCCCAAAGAGACCCCACAGGGACCCCAAAGAGACCCCACAGAGACCCCACAGGGACCCCACAGGGACCCCAGGACCCCACAGGGACCCCAAAGGGACCCCAAAGGGACCCCACAGAGACCCCACAGGGACCCCAAAGAGACCCCACAGGGACCCCAAAGAGACCCCACAGAGACCCCACAGGGACCCCACAGGGACCCCAGGACCCCACAGGGACCCCACAGAGACCCCACAGGGACCCCACAGGGACCCCAAAGGGACCCCACAGGGACCCCAGGACCCCAAAGGGACCCCAAAGGGACCCCACAGAGACCCCACAGGGACCCCAAAGAGACCCCACAGGGACCCCAAAGAGACCCCACAGAGACCCCACAGGGACCCCACAGGGACCCCAGGACCCCACAGGGACCCCACAGAGACCCCACAGGGACCCCACAGGGACCCCAAAGGGACCCCACAGGGACCCCAGGACCCCAAAGGGACCCCAAAGGGACCCCACAGAGACCCCACAGGGACCCCACAGAGACCCCAAAGAGACCCCAAAGAGACCCCACAGGGACCCCAAAGGGACCCCACAGGGACCCCACAGAGACCCCACAGAGACCCCACAGGGACCCCAAAGAGACCCCAAAGGGACCCCAAAGGGACCCCAAAGAGACCCCACAGGGACCCCACAGAGACCCCAAAGAGACCCCACAGAGACCCCACAGGGACCCCAAAGAGACCCCAAAGAGACCCCACAGGGACCCCAAAGGGACCCCACAGAGACCCCACAGAGACCCCAUAG